rnacentral:rRNA from 1 species
UUCCUACGGGGGGCAGCAGUGGGGAAUUUUGGACAAUGGGCGCAAGCCUGAUCCAGCAAUGCCGCGUGUGUGAAGAAGGCCUGAGGGUUGUAAAGCACUUUCAGUGGGGAGGAGGCUUGUUAGGUUAAGAGCUAGAUAAGUGGACGUUACCCACAGAAGAAGCACCGGCUAACUCCGUGCCAGCAGCCGCGGUAAUACGGAGGGUGCAAGCGUUAAUCGGAAUUACUGGGCGUAAAGAGUGCGUAGGUGGUUUGGUAAGUUAUCUGUGAAAUCCCUGGGCUCAACCUGGGCAGGUCAGAUAAUACUGCUGAACUCGAGUAUGGGAGAGGGUAGUGGAAUUUCCGGUGUAGCGGUGAAAUGCGUAGAGAUCGGAAGGAACACCAGUGGCGAAGGCGGCUACCUGGCCUAAUACUGACACUGAGGCACGAAAGCGUGGGGAGCAAACAGGAUUAGAUACCCCUGUAGUC